rnacentral:rRNA from 1 species
GACGAACGCUGGCGGCGUGCUUAACACAUGCAAGUCGAACGGAAAGGCCCUGCUUUUGUGGGGUGCUCGAGUGGCGAACGGGUGAGUAACACGUGAGUAACCUGCCCUUGACUUUGGGAUAACUUCAGGAAACUGGGGCUAAUACCGGAUAGGAGCUCCUGCUGCAUGGUGGGGGUUGGAAAGUUUCGGCGGUUGGGGAUGGACUCGCGGCUUAUCAGCUUGUUGGUGGGGUAGUGGCUUACCAAGGCUUUGACGGGUAGCCGGCCUGAGAGGGUGACCGGCGACAUUGGGCCUGAGGUACGGCCCAGUGUCCUAUGGGAGGCAGCAGUGGGGAAUAUGGCACAAUGGGCGGAAGCCUGAUGAGGCAACGCCGCGUGCGGGAUGCCGGCCUUCGGGUUGUAAACCGCUUUCGCCUGUGACGAAGCGUGAGUGACGGUAAUGGGUAAAGAAGCACCGGCUAACUACGUG